AGGUAGUAUUAAAAUACAAACCUAUUUAUUUUGGCGGCUUUCCAUCUCAUUAGAGGAACUUGUCUAAUAAUCGACAACCCACGAUAAUUUUCACUUAAAUCAAAAAUUUAUAUACCGCCAUCUAAAGAAUAAAUUUAAAAAUCCAUUCUUAAUAAAAAAUAAAAAGUUAGGUCAAGGUGUAGUCAAUAUUUAAGGCUAAGAUGAGUUACACUAAAUAUAAUUUAAGAAUACUUAACCAAAAUUAAAAUGAAAAAGAAUUUAAUUGUAAUACUUUAUAAUCAAUAAUAAUAAUAAUAAUUUAAUAUGAAUAAGAUAAUAAAAGUGC
rnacentral:rRNA from 1 species